rnacentral:misc_RNA from 1 species
CUGAACGCCUCUAAGUCAGAAUCCAUGCCAGAACGCGGUGAUACCACCCGCACGUAUAGAUGGACAAGAAUAGGCUUCGGCUUAGCGUCUUAGCAGGCGAUUCUUCCACGGCGCUCGAAGCGCGUCGUGGUAUUUCGCGUAUUGUAAUUUCAACACGAGCGGGGUCAAAUCCUUUGCAGACGACUUAGCUGUGCGAAACGGUCCUGUAAGCAGUAGAGUAGCCUUGUUGUUACGAUCUGCUGAGGGUAAGCCGUCCUUCGCCUCGAUUUCCCCAAUGGGUUCUCCGGAUUUCUGGAGACUUGUAGGGGUUGUGGGUUUUUUCGAUGUGUCGUCUCCGGACGGGCGGUGCAGGGUAGUCGAGUUAGACUUGGUGGAAUUCGAUUCCGUCGAGUAUGGCUGGCACGAUCGUGUGCGGUUGUGUGUUGGACGGUGCAGGGUAGGCUGCUUGGACAUGGUCGGUUCGAGGAUCGAUUCGAGGGCCGGCCUGUCGAUGAUGUGUGAUGUAUGCGGUCUAGGGUAGGCUGGUUUGUCUUGGUCCAAUUUGAUGUCGGCUCCCGUGCAGGCUAGAGUGAGGGGGGUCCAGGGUAGGUACAGGGUAGGCAGCUUAGAUUUGGUCGAUCUGGAGGUCGAUUCUCCGGCUGGUGGAUCUGACCCUGUCGAAACGAGAUGCGAGCGGUGUAGGGUAGGCUAGUUUCGUCCUCGCCAGGUUGCGAUUUGGACGAGAUAUGUGGUCUAGGGUAGGCUCUAGGGUAAGUAGAAUUCGAGUUUCGUCGCCGACAGUUUUCUGUGGGUGUAUGGUAGGUACAGGGUAGGCAAAACUCUCUCCGGCCAGUACUUGUCUGGUGGUCGUGAGUCGAUUUUUUUGUUUUGCCAUACUAUUGAAUUUUGCGGAAAUUCAAAAGUGGCUCGGGAGUCCCGCCUGGCGUGCGUCCGACUCGAACAUCGUCGGUGUACAUAUGAGAGGGAGUAAUCCGGCCCGGCCGGGGCCCAUCGCGAGCUGCCGGGUAGGUAAAAGUAAAAAAGUUGUUAAGAGGCGCGGUGUCGGCGUGCUUGUAUUUGCGGGAGAGAAUUAUCUGGAGGUGCUGGGUAGCCGGGAAGACUUGGACGGAUCUGGCCCGGGAAUGGGUCUGGGCCUGGAUUCUGGUGUGGUGUAGGAUAGGCGUAGAUAGAUGAGUGGUCUAGGGUAGAUACAGGGUAGCCCAGAAGUCUGGUAUAUAGUGUGGGGGGUGUAGGGUAGGUCUGGACACCGUUUUCCACUUCGCCCUUCCCUUUACUCGAGGGAGGACGAUCUUGGCUGGGAUGGAGGUGUAGGGUAGGCUUAAUUUACGAUUACAUGAUCUGUGUCACUCUAGGGUAGGUGAAAAUCCCAUAUAUAUCUGAUCACAUUUGGAGAAGAGGUGGUUUGGCUGGUGAGAUGGACAAAAGUGCAAUGUAGAAUUAUAUGUGAUUUUGCAAAAGUGGGUGUGAAAUUGGGAAAUCGGUUUCCCCGCACAGAUGAGAGCACGUUUGAGGUGCCAUGAGAUGCACCUCUCCGAGACGACCUCAACGGUACCACCGAUGUGUUGGUCCGGCUCCUGUGCGGCCGUCCAGGGCGGGAUAUGUAGAGAAUGUGGUGGUGUAGGGUAGGUGGCCAGGUCCAGGGUAGGUUCUCCAAAUCCGUCAAUCCGGCUUGAAUCGAAGGACAGGUCUAGGGUAGGCCAGAGUCGGGUCUAGGGUAGGCAGCUCUCACCCUCGAAGUGGUCUACCCGGUAGUCAACUUCAAUCGCCUCUCACGGCCGCCACGGACCUCGCAUGACGACGGGACCACCACCAUCGGAUUUGCCUUGGUCGAAAUAGUCGGUAUAUGCACUUUUGCAAAAAUGCGUGCAAAAUGGUUUUGUGGUUUGGUGGUCGUGAGUCGAUUUUUUUGUUUUCCCAUACAAAUGAAUUUUGCGGAAAAUAAAAAGUGGCCCACGAAGCAGUUCUGGCGUGCGGCCCACUAAAACGGUCUCGGAGGGUAUAUGAGAAGGGAGCAAAUCCGGCCGAGCCUGAAAGGGUGAGGACAAACCGGGCGAGCAACCUCUCAGUAUCAGAUCUUGCAGACUUCCACUGCGUGUCCCUCUGUACAGCUUUGCAGGCUCCGGCCUCGGCAGCGGGGGGUUCAUAGUGGUCGUCGACCUCCACGAAACUGCACGCUCCGGCGUGACAGCGUACUGGGGAUGCCUGUGUAGAUGCAGUCCGGGCUUGCCUGGACCGCUAGCAGAUGGGCUCUGUGGAUGACUGGCCGCUGGCUAGACCUGAAACCUGAGCAACGGGAGGUAACCUCUCGCCGCGGACACCGGAAUGGUAGAAGCGGCGUGCUGCGUCCUCCUCUUGGGGCCCCUAAGCCACACCUCCCAUAGCGGGUUCGGUGCGGCGGACGGACGCCCUGGGGAAUUUAGAGGGGGAAAGCGGAUUGCCCUAGCGGUGUUGUUGGCCCUGCCGACCUCACUGCGAAAGGCGCGACUUCACCGUCGCCACCCAGUAACUUGUCUCUCCGGCGCUUCACGGCGCUGGUGGCCAACCCCGGCACACGAUAGUUACCUGGUUGAUUCUGCCAGUAGUCAUAUGCUUGUCUC